GGGUGUAGCGCAGCUAGGUAGCGCGCCUGAUUCGGAUUCAGGAGGUCGUCAGUUCAAUUCUGACCGCCCA
rnacentral:tRNA from 1 species